rnacentral:rRNA from 1 species
AGUCAACGCUGGCGGCGUGCCUCAGACAUGCAAGUCGAACGAUUAAAGCUCUCUUCGGAGAGUGUAUAGAGUGGCGCACGGGUGAGUAACACGUAAGUAAUCUACCUUUGAGUGGGAAUAACGUUCGGAACGGACGCUAAUACCGCAUAAUGCAGCGGCAUCGCAAGAUGACAGUUGUUAAAGGAGCAAUCCGCUUAAAGAGGAGCUUGCGGCAGAUAGCUUGUUGGUAAGGUAACGGCUUACCAAGGCUACGAUCUGUAUCCGGUCUAAGAGGACGGUCGGACACACUGACACUGAAUAACGGGUCAGACUCCUACGGGAGGCAGCAGUCGGGAA